rnacentral:ncRNA from 1 species
AAAGUUUUAGUCCUGGACUUACCGUUGUUUUUUUUCAAGAUUAUACAUGCAAGCCUCAACAUACCAGUGAAAACGCCCACACCCCCCUAAAAAGAAAGAUUGGAGCAGAUAUCAGGCACAAUCAUUUAGCCCAUAACAUCUAGUUUAACCACUCCCCCACGGGCUUACAGCAGUAAUAAACCUUGGGCAAUAAGUGAAAACUUGACCCAACUAUGAAAACAAGGGUUGGUCAAUUUCGUGCCAGCCACCGCGGUUACACGAAAAACCCGAAUCAACGAUCCAACGGCGUAAAUUGUGACUAGAUAUUAUAUAAAAAUAUUAAAACUAUUAUCCUAGUUGUAAAACACUUAGGACUAAGGGAAAAACAAACAAAUAUUUUAUCAUAUUUGAUCACACGAAAACUUAGAAACAAACUAGGAUUAGAUACCCUACUAUGCUAAGCCUUAAACUUUGAUAGUAACUAUACAUAACUAUCCGCCAGAGAAUUACAAGUGAAAACUUAAAACUCAAAGGACUUGGCGGUGUCCCACAUCGACCUAGAGGAGCCUGUCCUAUAAUCGAUACCCCUCGUUCCACCCAACCUCCACUAGCACAUUCAGCCUGUAUACCGCCGUCGACAGUUUACCCCAUGAGGGUAAAACAGUAAAUAAAAUAGUAAUAACACUAACACGUCAGGUCAAGGUGUAGCAAAUGUUGAGGAAGUGAUUGGCUACAUUUUCAAAAAUUUGAAAAAACGAAAUGCAACAUGAAAUCAUGCAAGAAGGUGAAUUUAGUAGUAAAAUAGAUAAGAGUAUCUAUUUAAACAUCGCUCUGGGACGCGCACACACCGCCCGUCACCCUCCUCAAAACUACUAACUCAAUAUUAUAUAAACCCAUACUUCGUCUCAGAGGAGGUAAGUCGUAACAUGGUAAGCGUACUGGAAAGUGUGCUUGGACUAAA